UACGUAGGGUGCGAGCGUUAAUCGGAAUUACUGGGCGUAAAGCGUGCGCAGGCGGUUUUGUAAGCCAGAUGUGAAAUCCCUCGGCUUAACCGGGGAACUGCAUCUGAUACUGGAUGGCUUGAGUUCGGGAGAGGGAUGCGGAAUUCCAGGUGUAGCGGUGAAAUGCGUAGAUAUUACAAGGAACACCAAUGGCGAAGGCAGCUUGCUGGGCUACUCCUGACACUGAGGUACGAAAGCGUGGGGAGCGAACAGG
rnacentral:rRNA from 1 species